GAUGAACGCUGGCGGCGUGCCUAAUACAUGCAAGUCGAGCGAACAGACGAGAGUGCUUACACUCUCUGACGUUAGCGGCGGACGGGUGAGUAACACGUGGGUAACCUACCUAUAAGACUGGGAUAACUUCGGGAAACCGGAGCUAAUACCGGAUAAUAUUUAGCUUCGCAUGAAGCAAUAGUGAAAGACGGUUCUGCUGUCACUUAUAGAUGGACCCGCGGUGUAUUAGCUAGUUGGUGAGGUAACGGCUCACCAAGGCAACGAUACAUAGCCGACCUGAGAGGGUGAUCGGCCACACUGGGACUGAGACACGGCCCAGACUCCUACGGGAGGCAGCAGUAGGGAAUCUUCCGCAAUGGACGAAAGUCUGACGGAGCAAUGCCGCGUGAGUGAAGAAGGUUUUCGGAUCGUAAAACUCUGUUGUAAGGGAAGAACAAGUACGUUAGUAACUGAACGUACCUUGACGGUACCUUACCAGAAAGCCACGGCUAACUACGUG
rnacentral:rRNA from 1 species